rnacentral:tRNA from 1 species
GUUCUUGUAGUUAAAUUUUUUAACGAUGGUUUUUC